rnacentral:rRNA from 1 species
GAUGAACGCUGGCGGCGUGCCUAAUACAUGCAAGUCGAGCGAACAGACGAGGAGCUUGCUCCUCUGACGUUAGCGGCGGACGGGUGAGUAACACGUGGAUAACCUACCUAUAAGACUGGGAUAACUUCGGGAAACCGGAGCUAAUACCGGAUAAUAUAUUGAACCGCAUGGUUCAAUAGUGAAAGACGGUUUUGCUGUCACUUCUAGAUGGAUCCGCGCCGCAUUAGCUAGUUGGUAAGGUAACGGCUUACCACGGCGACUAUGCGUAGCCGACGUGAGAGAGUGAUCGCCGACACGGGAACGGAGACACGGACCAGACUCCUACGGGAGGCAGCAGUAGGGAAUCUGCCGCAAUGGUCGAAAGCCUGACGGAGCAACGCCGCGUGAGUGAUGAAAGUGUUCGGAGCGUAAAACUCUGUUAUUAGGUAAGAACAAAUGUGGAAUUAACUAUGCACGUCGUGACGGUACCUAAUCAGAAAGCCACGGCUAACUACGUG